CAAACAUUCAGAGAUGAACCUACACACUUGCUUUACUUCUCUGGGAUACCUUUCUCUGAGAUGAAAUGGCAGUUUGGUAGCAAGGCUCCAAAUGCUCAACCAGACCGCCAACAGGUCUCGCACGCCACAGCCGCUCUAUCACGUGACGCACACUGCUCCGACGUGCUAAGGUUAUGAGCUGGGUUACACUAUUUUGCAAGUUUUGUGAGGUGCUUUUGUGAUAGUUAAUGGAUUGGAUUACAUUUUUUAUUUCUCUCCAAUAUUCGAUCCAGUAAUUUAGGUCAGUAUCAGACCGAUACCGAUACGUAAUAUCGGAUCGAUCCAUCCCUAGUAUAAGAUAUCUAAUUUUUCUGCUGAUCAAACAGGAAAGUCAAACUGUAAUAUGCGAGCUAGUCAGACAGUUUUAUUUUUAGAUUGGAAACCAAACAGGCUUACAAUAAAAGUAGAAAACUGAAACCCAGGAAGACAAAAUAAUGAUUCAGCAAUGUACAAAGUUGGGAACUAAUACACUUAUAACUGUUUUCUAAAGGAUCGUUUAAUGCCAUUACAGGAAAGCUAAAGUCUAGCUAUCGCUUCAUCAUUCUAACAGCAAAAGUAAAAAUCACAAUGAGCCCUGGAUGCUCAUUAAACUUGUAACCAUAGACAAUAAUGUGUGAAUGUCUCUGAGAUGUUUGUAAAUUCAUCUUUUGGGUAACUGCUGUUCAGUGAUUCCUCUCAGAAAUCAGAGGUUUUCUAUUCAGUCAGCUGCACUUUGUUUGCUGCAGAAGUGUCUCAGCUGAACUGAGCUUACAACAUACAACAUACUGAUUGUCACUGUGAAGCUUUAAGUGGAAAAGAAAAACAAGAUGUGGAUCCUGGAAUAAUCGUAGCUUCCAUCUUGACCAAUUAUAAAGAAGUUUACAAGGAAUCAUUUAGAACAGUUAUAAAACAUCAACUGAUUGAAUCCAUGAAUUUGAAAACGUGUUUCUGAGUGAAAGAGACAGACAUGUACAGACUGAACUAUCUGUUCAAGAGUCAGAGUGUUUCUCUAACAGGAGGAAACUCUUUACACUCAGCACAGAGUAACUGAAGCACCAGGAAACCAGACUGUAAAUCCAGGAUAAAGAGGUUCAGUGAAUGUGGUGUUGAAGGUGUGGAGGUGGAUCAGAGUGUCAGAGGAGACUCUGUAGAAGGACAGAGUGCCAGCAGGACAGUCCACAUACACUGCUACUCUGUUAGAGACA